GGAAGAAAUGGAAUAUCCGUCUUGAUCCCAAAGCCUUCUUCCUUCCCGCGCCAUCUCUUCCCUAUAAAGCCGCAGUUUGAACACUCUCAGUUUCUUUCUGUUCAUCUUCAUCUUUUUCUUCUUAAGCUGUAAUGAAAUUUGUAGAGCAGAGCUUGAAGCAACAGUCGGAACAGAUAUGCAAGACUGUUGAGGUCGACGUAAUUGAUCACCAUCGCACUGCAUCGUCGCUGGUCGAAUUGGAAGCUUCUGAAGAUUGCGAGAGGGAUGGACCGGAUGGUGACGGCCUCUAUAUUCCUCCCCUCAACUUUUCCAUGGUUGAUAAUGGCAUUUUCCGCUCCGGCUUCCCUAAUUCUGCUAACUUCUCCUUCCUCCAAACCCUAGGCCUCCGUUCCAUUAUAUGUCUAUGUCCGGAGCCGUAUCCGGAACACAACAUGGAGUUUCUCAAGUCUAACGGAAUCAGAUUGUAUCAAUUUGGAAUCGAGAGCUAUAAGGAGCCUUUUGUGAAUAUCCCAGAUGAUAUGAUUCGUGAAGCACUGAAAGUUGUCCUUGACGAUAGAAAUCAUCCAAUCCUCAUACAUUGCAAGAGAGGAAAGCAUCGUACAGGUUGCCUUGUGGGAUGCCUGAGAAAAUUGCAGAGGUGGUGCCUCACUUCUGUGUUUGAUGAGUACCAGAGAUUUGCAGCUGCAAAAGCAAGAAUUUCAGACCAGAGGUUUAUGGAAUUGUUCGAUGUCUCCGACUUGAGGCAUCUUCCCAUGUCAUUCGCAUGCUCAAAGAGUCUGUUUGUUUUUGUAAAGAUUUCUUUGGUGGUUCGGGUGGCAUUCAUUAGACGACUAGGGAAGCAGCAGAAAACAUUCACACACCUCAAAGUCAUAGUGAGGUUAAUCUAAUAGUUGAGGUAAAAGGAAUUAAAGUUCUCAAGUUAAGCAUAUUUUUAACAUUCAAUCACGGUUUACCAUAGGUACUAUAUUUGACCUUUUAUUAUAGACAAAGAUCUUGUAUCUAUUUACGGUUCUUUCUAUUUCUUUUGUAAUUUAUUUUAUGAUUAUAAAUAGAGAAUUUCACGACCAUUUAGGUGGGAUGGUUUUAACAAAUAUUCUCAUUCAUCACCUUCCAAGUUGUUUCUAUUAAUGGUUGGGAGGGAGUUCUACACUAGCUAAUUUAGGGAAUGAUCAUAGGUUUAUAAGUAAGGAAAUACAUCUCCAUUGAUAUAAAGCAUUUUGGGGAAGUGCAAGGCAAAACUAUGAAAGCUUACGCUCAAAGUAGAUAAUAUCAUACCAUUGUGGAGAUCCAUGAUUCCUAACCGUUUCUUUCCUUAACUAUUAUAAAAGCUGUAUGAUCAUCUCUGGUUCGUUCCAAGACGAAGAAGCAGCUGGAAGUGUCAGUGGAAAAAGCUCGACGACCACUUAACCAAAGGU